UGCUGUUGUGGUGUUGCUGGUGCGUGCUGGUCAUCUGGUCAACGCACUCGGCUGUCCUGACCUCACACCUGUUGAAGACACAAGUGGAUUUGAAAAGGCUGUUGAAGUGAGAGUGAUUGGGAGGGAGACGGCGUGUGAAUGUGUUUGUGACCUCAGACGAUGUUUCCGCCUACGCGUGACCGUGACCUGCUGAAGGUCAGGCCCCUUCUCCCUCGUUGACCACGUGUGGGACGAUUGAAGAUGUGCCUGCCCCACGAGGAAUAACUGCAGACAUUUCAGGACUGAUCAGACCAACAGAACAAUGCUGAUAAUACAAGUUACAACUGCAGAGACAGAAGAACCGGCUCCGGAUGUGGGACGCGCUAAAUGUAGGCCAGCGUGCCGUGUAUGACGCACACGUGUGAUGUGUGUGUGUAGGUGCCACACCAAGAUAAAGCUUACGCCUUUGCGUGCCUGUUUCUCGUCUGUACUAUGCUACCUCACAAGCGAACAUCUGGAACAUCGCUGUGAACAGCAGACGCAAGACGACACCUCAUCCCUCCAACCUCCAUCAAGUUCAAAAGUUCCAGCAAGAAGUCUGCACCACCUCCCCAUACAGUGUCAGGACGGAAGAGAAAAGUUUCAUCGGACGCUCGCGGAUGUGGGGAAAGUAAGCUGGGAGAUAGCUCCGAGGUGUAUGGAAAAAGUAUUGGUUUCAGUUGUUGAGGUGUUUUUUUUCUAUUGUGCCGUUUUGAUUGUUUAGGAGGCAG